UACAGAGGUCCCGAGCGUUGUUCGGAUUCAUUGGGCGUAAAGGGUGCGUAGGCGGCGGGGCAAGUCUGAUGUGAAAUCCCGGGGCUCAACCCCGGAACUGCAUUGGAUACUGCCUUGCUAGAGUACUGGAGAGGGAACUGGAAUUUACGGUGUAGCAGUGAAAUGCGUAGAGAUCGUAAGGAAGGCCAGUGGCGAAGGCGAGUUCCUGGACAGUUACUGACGCUGAGGCACGAAGGCCAGGGGAGCAGACGGG
rnacentral:rRNA from 1 species